rnacentral:rRNA from 1 species
GCAAGUCGAACGAGGUCCAUGGAGCUUGCUCCGGACGACCUAGUGGCGAACGGGUGCGUAACACGUGAGAAACCUGUCCCAGUCUUCGGGAUAACAGUUGGAAACGACUGCUAAUACCGGAUACCGCCGGUACACCGCCUGGUGAGCCGACGAAAGAUCUAUCGGAUUGGGAGGGUCUCGCGGCCUAUCAGCUAGUUGGAGAGGUAACGGCUCACCAAGGCAUCGACGGGUAGCUGGUCUGAGAGGAUGAUC